GACGAACGCUGGCGGCGUGCUUAACACAUGCAAGUCGAACGGAAAGGCCCUGCUUUUGUGGGGUGCUCGAGUGGCGAACGGGUGAGUAACACGUGGGUAACCUGCCCUUGACUUUGGGAUAACUUCAGGAAACUGGGGCUAAUACCGGAUAGGAGCUCCUGCUGCAUGGUGGGGGUUGGAAAGUUUCGGCGGUUGGGGAUGGACUCGCGGCUUAUCAGCUUGUUGGUGGGGUAGUGGCUUACCAAGGCUUUGACGGAUAGCCGGCCUGAGAGGGUGACCGGCCACAUUGGGACUGAGAUACGGCCCAGACUCCUACGGGAGGCAGCAGUGGGGAAUAUUGCACAAUGGGCGGAAGCCUGAUGCAGCAGCGCCGCGUGCGGGAUGACGGCCUUCGGGUUGUAAACCGCUUUCGCCUGUGACGAAGCGUGAGUGACGGUAAUGGGUAAAGAAGCACCGGCUAACUACGUG
rnacentral:rRNA from 1 species